GUCUACGGCCAUACCACCCUGAACACACCCAAUCUCGUCUGAUUUCUGAAGCUAAGCAGGGUCAGGCCUGGUUAGUACUUGGAUGGGAAAAACACCAUCUAUGAAGUCACAUUUGCACC
rnacentral:rRNA from 1 species